rnacentral:rRNA from 1 species
UGGGGGAUAUUGCACAAUGGGCGAAAGCCUGAUGCAGCGACGCCGCGUGGGGGAUGAAGGCCUUCGGGUUGUAAACUUCUUUUGCUCUGAACAAGGCGCACCAUGGGGUGUGUUGAGUGUAGGGGUUGAUUAGCGCCGGCUAACUACGUGCCAGCAGCCGCGGUAAUACGUAGGGCGCGAGCGUUGUCCGGAAUCAUUGGGCGUAAAGGGCUUGUAGGUGGCUGGUUGCGUCUGUCGUGAAAGCUCAUGGCUUAACUGUGGGUUUGCGGUGGGUACGGACUGGCUUGAGUGCAGUAGGGGAGGCUGGAAUUCCUGGUGUAGCGGUGGAAUGCGCAGAUAUCAGGAGGAAUACCGGUGGCGAAGGCGGGUCUCUGGGCUGUUACUGACACUGAGGAGCGAAAGCAUGGGGAGCGAACAGG